rnacentral:misc_RNA from 1 species
GAUGAAGAACGCAGCGAAAUGCGAUACGUAAUGUGAAUUGCAGAAUUCAGUGAAUCAUCGAGUCUUUGAACGCACAUUGCGCCCCCUGGUAUUCCGGGGGGCAUGCCUGUCCGAGCGUCAUUGCUGCCCUCAAGCACGGCUUGUGUGUUGGGCCUCCGUCCUCCUCCCGGGGGACGGGCCCGAAAGGCAGCGGCGGCACCGCGUCCGGUCCUCGAGCGUAUGGGGCUUCGUCACCCGCUCUUGUAGGCCCGGCCGGCGCUCGCCGACACAUCAAUCUUUUUUCCAGGUUGACCUCGGAUCAGGUAGGGAUACCCGCUGAACUUAAGCAUAUCAAUAAGCGGAGGA